rnacentral:rRNA from 1 species
GGUUAAGCGACUAAGCGUACACGGUGGAUGCCCUGGCAGUCAGAGGCGAUGAAGGGCGUGCUAAUCUGCGAUAAGCGCCGGUAAGGUGAUAUGAACUGUUAUAACCGGCGAUACCCGAAUGGGGAAACCCAGUGUGAUUCGUCACACUAUCAUUAACUGAAUCCAUAGGUUAAUGAGGCGAACCGGGGGAACUGAAACAUCUAAGUACCCCGAGGAAAAGAAAUCAACCGAGAUUCCCCCAGUAGCGGCGAGCGAACGGGGAGGAGCCCAGAGCCUGAAUCAGCAUGUGUGUUAGUGGAAGCGUCUGGAAAGGCGCGCGAUACAGGGUGACAGCCCCGUACACAAAAGCGCAUGUGCUGUGAGCUCGAUGAGUAGGGCGGGACACGUGGUAUCCUGUCUGAAUAUGGGGGGACCAUCCUCCAAGGCUAAAUACUCCUGACUGACCGAUAGUGAACCAGUACCGUGAGGGAAAGGCGAAAAGAACCCCGGCGAGGGGAGUGAAAAAGAACCUGAAACCGUGUACGUACAAGCAGUGGGAGCCCCACCACCAAAGCAUUCUCUGGUGUUGAAGGCCCUGCAAAGCAGCAUCGCGGUGGCGGAGCGUCGUUUGCGACGCCCAACACACAAAACAAGCGGUGAAUGCUUUGGGGUGGGGUGACUGCGUACCUUUUGUAUAAUGGGUCAGCGACUUAUAUUCUGUAGCAAGGUUAACCGAAUAGGGGAGCCGGAGGGAAACCGAGUCUUAAUUGGGCGUUAAGUUGCAGGGUAUAGACCCGAAACCCGGUGAUCUAGCCAUGGGCAGGUUGAAGGUUGGGUAACACUAACUGGAGGACCGAACCGACUAAUGUUGAAAAAUUAGCGGAUGACCUGUGGCUGGGGGUGAAAGGCCAAUCAAACCGGGAGAUAGCUGGUUCUCCCCGAAAGCUAUUUAGGUAGCGCCUCGUGAAUUCAUCUCCGGGGGUAGAGCACUGUUUCGGCUAGGGGGCCAUCCCGGCUUACCAACCCGAUGCAAACUGCGAAUACCGGAGAAUGUUAUCACGGGAGACACACGGCGGGUGCUAACGUCCGUCGUGAAGAGGGAAACAACCCAGACCGCCAGCUAAGGUCCCAAAGUCAUGGUUAAGUGGGAAACGAUGUGGGAAGGCCCAGACAGCCAGGAUGUUGGCUUAGAAGCAGCCAUCAUUUAAAGAAAGCGUAAUAGCUCACUGGUCGAGUCGGCCUGCGCGGAAGAUGUAACGGGGCUAAACCAUGCACCGAAGCUGCGGCAGCGAACGUAUCACUUAAAGCGAUUCAGCGGGUUACGAUUGACGGAGCGAAGCGACGUCAAAGCGUAUACAAAGUCGAGUCGGUUUAAGGAUACGUUCGUUGGGUAGGGGAGCGUUCUGUAAGCCCGUGAAGGUGGCCUGUGAGGGUUGCUGGAGGUAUCAGAAGUGCGAAUGCUGACAUAAGUAACGAUAAAGCGGGUGAAAAGCCCGCUCGCCGGAAGACCAAGGGUUCCUGUCCAACGUUAAUCGGGGCAGGGUGAGUCGACCCCUAAGGCGAGGCCGAAAGGCGUAGUCGAUGGGAAACGGGUUAAUAUUCCCGUACUUGGUGUUACUGCGAAGGGGGGACGGAGAAGGCUAUGUUGGCCGGGCGACGGUUGUCCCGGUUUAAGCGUGUAGGUGUGUGUUCCAGGUAAAUCCGGUUCACUUUAACACUGAGGCGUGAUGACGAGGCACUACGGUGCUGAAGCAACAAAUGCCCUGCUUCCAGGAAAAGCCUCUAAGCAUCAGGUAACAUCAAAUCGUACCCCAAACCGACACAGGUGGUCAGGUAGAGAAUACCAAGGCGCUUGAGAGAACUCGGGUGAAGGAACUAGGCAAAAUGGUGCCGUAACUUCGGGAGAAGGCACGCUGACACGUAGGUGAAGUGAUUUACUCAUGGAGCUGAAGUCAGUCGAAGAUACCAGCUGGCUGCAACUGUUUAUUAAAAACACAGCACUGUGCAAACACGAAAGUGGACGUAUACGGUGUGACGCCUGCCCGGUGCCGGAAGGUUAAUUGAUGGGGUCAGCGUAAGCGAAGCUCCUGAUCGAAGCCCCGGUAAACGGCGGCCGUAACUAUAACGGUCCUAAGGUAGCGAAAUUCCUUGUCGGGUAAGUUCCGACCUGCACGAAUGGCGUAAUGAUGGCCAGGCUGUCUCCACCCGAGACUCAGUGAAAUUGAACUCGCUGUGAAGAUGCAGUGUACCCGCGGCAAGACGGAAAGACCCCGUGAACCUUUACUAUAGCUUGACACUGAACAUUGAGCCUUGAUGUGUAGGAUAGGUGGGAGGCUUUGAAGUGUGGACGCCAGUCUGCAUGGAGCCGACCUUGAAAUACCACCCUUUAAUGUUUGAUGUUCUAACGUGGACCCGUAAUCCGGGUUGCGGACAGUGUCUGGUGGGUAGUUUGACUGGGGCGGUCUCCUCCUAAAGAGUAACGGAGGAGCACGAAGGUUGGCUAAUCCUGGUCGGACAUCAGGAGGUUAGUGCAAUGGCAUAAGCCAGCUUGACUGCGAGCGUGACGGCGCGAGCAGGUGCGAAAGCAGGUCAUAGUGAUCCGGUGGUUCUGAAUGGAAGGGCCAUCGCUCAACGGAUAAAAGGUACUCCGGGGAUAACAGGCUGAUACCGCCCAAGAGUUCAUAUCGACGGCGGUGUUUGGCACCUCGAUGUCGGCUCAUCACAUCCUGGGGCUGAAGUAGGUCCCAAGGGUAUGGCUGUUCGCCAUUUAAAGUGGUACGCGAGCUGGGUUUAGAACGUCGUGAGACAGUUCGGUCCCUAUCUGCCGUGGGCGCUGGAGAACUGAGGGGGGCUGCUCCUAGUACGAGAGGACCGGAGUGGACGCAUCACUGGUGUUCGGGUUGUCAUGCCAAUGGCACUGCCCGGUAGCUAAAUGCGGAAGAGAUAAGUGCUGAAAGCAUCUAAGCACGAAACUUGCCCCGAGAUGAGUUCUCCCUGAGACUUAGAGUCUCCUGAAGGAACGUUGAAGACGACGACGUUGAUAGGCCGGGUGUGUAAGCGCAGCGAUGCGUUGAGCUAACCGGUACUAAUGAACCGUGAGGCUUAACCUU